AGAGCGAACGCUGGCGGCAGGCCUAACACAUGCAAGUCGAGCGGCCGUAGCAAUACGGCAGCGGCAGACGGGAGAGUAACACGUGGGAACGCGCCCUUUGGUUCGGAAUAACUCAGGGAAACUUGAGCUAAUACCGGAUAAGCCCUUACGGGGAAAGAUUUAUCGCCAAAGGAACGGCCCGCGUCCGAUUAGCUAGUUGGUGAGGUAACGGCUCACCAAGGCGACGAUCGGUAGCUGGUCUGAGAGGAUGACCAGCCUCAUUGGGACUGAGACACGGCCCAAACUCCUACGGGAGGCAGCAGUGGGGAAUAUUGGACAAUGGGCGCAAGCCUGAUCCAGCCAUGCCGCGUGAGUGAUGAAGGCCUUAGGGUUGUAAAGCUCUUUAGCAGGGAAGAUAAUGACGGUACCGCAAGAAAACGCCCCGACUAACUUCGUGCCAGCAGCCGC
rnacentral:rRNA from 1 species